UUUUACUUUUACACUUUGUUGGAUACCACUUUUCAACUUUACCAUCAGUCUAAGGACAUUUUCAGAAAUACACACUUUCAUUAAUGAGCAAAAGACAAUAACACCCUUACCUUAUCUUCUUCUCCACUAUUGGUUUCUCUCCCUGUCCUCGAGUCACCGUCAUCUCUCUCUCACCGUCGUCUCUCUCUCUCACCGUCGAUUUCCGGCGCCUCUCUCACCGCCUAGUUCUGGUGUCUCUCUCACCGUCGAUCUCUCUCUCACCAUCGAUCUCUCUCUCACCGUCGACUUCCGGUGACGAAAUCGAUUCAAAAUCUCCAAGAUGUCAACUCAUAUACGUGAUUCACAACUUAUGUCUCUAAUUUCUGUAUUUUUGUUUGAUUCGAUUUUGUGCUUUCUCUUAUCGAAAAAUCAAACAAGGUUCUCUUAGAUAUCUCAUUUAAAGAGGUCGAUCUAAGAGAAACAGAUUUGAUAGUGAAACGUUGAGAGUGAAAACAUUGAGUAUUUGAAAACUUAAAUCUGGUUUUGAAAUCAUAUUAAGAUUGAUCUGAAUGGUUCCGGCUAAGAAAAGAGAUUUUCCGAUAGUGAAAACUGCAUAUUAAGGAAGAGAUAAUUUCCGAUAGUAAAAACUGAAUAUUAAGGAAUUAUAACCCCUUAUAAAUCUGGGUUUCAUGAGAUUGUUGAUAAAUACAACUCAAUGAUUUAUAAGGAAUUAUAACCCUUUAUAAAUCUGGGUUUCUACCAGGAAACCUCUUCUGCAGAUCUGUUAUGUCUACAUAGGGACUCAACAAGGGCUUCGACAAUUACUGAAGUGUUGGAGGUGGAGAAGAAAAAUAAUGGUGUGGUUACUACAGUGUUUGGAUUCUCUGAGGAAUUCAAACAUUUGGUGAACCCAACACAUCCUCAUGAUAAGGACUUUGACAGUGUUAUACAACUAGUUCAACAAAAAUACAAUGUGUAGAAAAUCGAUUGGGAACAAGGAUUUGUGGAUGUUUUCUUACAACAGAAGACAUUGGUCGACAAAGCAGGACAGAAGACAAAGAUGUACAGCAAAACCUCUAAGGAGCAAACACAAUAUCAAGAAGAACAACAAGUGGAAGCUGAUGCUGAAUUCGGUGACGGUGAUAAAGAAAGAGAAACAUCAAAAAUCAAUGAAGGUUGAGGAAGAAUAAGAAGAAAAAAUGGAAGCUGAUACAGAAGUUGAGGAGUCCGUGCAAGCUGAAAGGCAGAAAUGAAGAAGAGGAAAUAAGGAACAAGAGCAUAAGAAGAAUAAAGAGAAAAGAAAAGAUGAAGCGUAUGAGAAAGCUAAGGAGAAAUUUCAAGAUGAAGAUGGUUCCAAACUCGAUAAGUUAAUCCAAAUGCUUUAUGAUUUGAAUAAACGAGUAGAAGUAAUCGAGAAUGUCUUAGGAGUGGCAGACGGUUAUGAGAGUCCAUGCAACUAUGAUGAUACAAAAGGUGCACCAAAUGAUGAAAAUGAAGAAGAAGAAAAUUCUGGUGGUAAAAGAAAUGCAACAGGUGAUGAAAAUGAUGAAGAAGGAAUUUCUGAUACACAGCAACUAACGGAAGUGAAUAUUCUUAGGGAAAAUGAGAAUACAGAGAAAAUCACUCCAGACGAAGACACUGAAAAAAGUGAAAAAAAAGAUGCAUGGAACAAAAGUCACAGUUACAAUUCUAAAAAAUAGAAUAUAAAGGUUUAUAAAAUUUUUUAUAUUAAGCUUAACUAAUCUUAUCUUUUGUAGAUGACGUCAUCUACUCCAACAUUCACUACUCCAAACUUUGAUAUAAGGGUAUAAAAUUUAAUAUAUUUUAUAAGGCCUUGUAAAUUUUAAUGUAUAAAGCUUAAAAUUAUAGUUUCUAAAUAAUUUGUUUACA